CACAAGGAAGGUUUCACCCCGUUGCCGAAAGACUAAGCGUCCCGUUGGCCAGUGCAACGAAGAACGGAGGAAGCGACUGUGGUGGACGGUGGUGCCCCAAAACUUCACAACCACCUAGACAUUCGGAAGGUGACCUUAUUUGGAAUAAGAGAUUUUGCAGAUGUAAUUGAGUUAAAGAUCUGAAGAUGAAAUCAUCAUGAAUUUAGGGUAGGCCGUAAAUCCAAUGACUGACAUCCUUACAAGAAGACAAGAGGACACAGGCACCCGGGGGAAGAGGCCGUAGGAGACCCAGGCAGAGAUUCGGAGCGGUGCCCAUGCCAGGGAUCUCCAGGAGGAGCCAGAAGCUGGGAGAGGCCCUGCAGAUCCUCUCCCAGAGCCUUUGGAGGAGGCACAACCCUGUCCACACCUUGGUCUCCACUUUCUGGCCUCCAGAGCUGUAGGGGAACCCACUUCUGUGGUUUGAAGCCACCAAGUUCGUGGUGACUUAUGGCAGCCCUAGGAAAGUGACAUGCACAGGUAAACCACAUUCACUGCAGGAAAUAUACAAAUCAGCAAAAAGAAAAAAAGCACACAGGGGCACCACCCCCAGAGACAGCCAUGGCUGACAUCCUAGCGGCUGUCACCUCGGAGUGAUGUUCCUAAAAUGCAAACUUCUGAACUGCUUAAAACUCUUCCAG
rnacentral:lncRNA from 10 species